rnacentral:rRNA from 1 species
AACGUAGGAGACUAGCGUUAUCCGGAUUUACUGGGCGUAAAGCGUAUGCAGGCGGAUCGUUAAGUCGGGGGUGAAAUCCCGAGGCUCAACCUCGGAACUGCCUUCGAUACUGGCGACCUUCGAGUCCGGGAGAGGUGAGUGGAACUCCGAGUGUAGAGGUGAAAUUCGUAGAUAUUCGGAAGAACACCAGUGGCGAAGGCGGCUCACUGGCCCGGUACUGACGCUGAGAUACGAAAGCGUGGGGAGCAAACAGG